rnacentral:rRNA from 1 species
GUUACCUACGGGAGGCAGCAGUGGGGAAUAUUGCACAAUGGGGGAAACCCUGAUGCAGCGACGCCGCGUGAGCGAUGAAGUAUUUCGGUAUGUAAAGCUCUAUCAGCGGGGAAGAAAAUGACGGUACCUGACUAAGAAGCCCCGGCUAACUACGUGCCAGCAGCCGCGGUAAUACGUAGGGGGCAAGCGUUAUCCGGAUUUACUGGGUGUAAAGGGAGCGUAGACGGUCCUGCAAGCCAGAUGUGAAAGCCCGGGGCUCAACCCCGGGACUGCAUUUGAAACUGUCAGGCUGGAGUGCAGGAGAG